rnacentral:rRNA from 3 species
CCUACGGGAGGCAGCAGUGGGGAAUAUUGGACAAUGGGCGAAAGCCUGAUCCAGCCAUGCCGCGUGUGUGAAGAAGGUCUUCGGAUUGUAAAGCACUUUAAGUUGGGAGGAAGGGCAUUAACCUAAUACGUUGGUGUCUUGACGUUACCGACAGAAUAAGCACCGGCUAACUCUGUGCCAGCAGCCGCGGUAAU